UACGAAGGGUGCAAGCGUUACUCGGAAUUACUGGGCGUAAAGCGUGCGUAGGUGGUGAGUUAAGUCUGUCGUGAAAGCCCCGGGCUCAACCUGGGAAUGGCGAUGGAUACUGGCUCGCUAGAGUGCGGUAGAGGAGAGUGGGAUUCCCGGUGUAGCAGUGAAAUGCGUAGAGAUCGGGAGGAACAUCAGUUGCGAAGGCGGCUCUCUGGACCAGCACUGACACUGAGGCACGAAAGCGUGGGGAGCAAACAGG
rnacentral:rRNA from 1 species